AAGUUUAGGUUAGACAAACCCGGAGCCUUCAAAGCCCCAAACAUGAGCACCACCCUCCUAAC
rnacentral:tRNA from 1 species